CCUACGGGAGGCAGCAGUGGGGAAUAUUGCACAAUGGGGGAAACACUGAUGCAGCGACGCCGCGUGAGUGAAGAAGUAUUUCGGUAUGUAAAGCUCUAUCAGCAGGAACGAGACAAGACGGUACCUGACUAAGAAGCCCCGGCUAACUACGUGCCAGCAGCCGCGGUAAUACGGAGGGGGCAAGCGUUAUCCGGAAUCACUGGGUGUAAAGGGAGCGUAGACGGCUGUGCAAGCCUGAAGUGAAAGGCGGGGGCCCAACCCCCGGACUGCUUUGGGAACUGUACGGCUGGUGUGCAGGAGAGGUAAGUGGAAUUCGUAGUGUAGCGGUGAAAUGCGUAGAUAUUAGGAGGAACACCAGUGGCGAAGGCGGCUUACUGGACUGUAACUGACGUUGAGGCUCGAAAGCGUGGGGAGCAAACAGGAUUAGAUACCCGGGUAGUC
rnacentral:rRNA from 1 species